rnacentral:lncRNA from 1 species
GAGGGAGAGGACAGUGAGUGAGAGAGAGGGAGAGGACAGUGAGAGGACAGUGAGAGAGAGGGAGAGCGUGGGAGAGGACAUUGAGAGAGAGGGAGAGGCCAGUGAGAGGGAGAGGACAGUGAGAGAGAGGGAGAGGAGAGGGAGAGGACAGUGAGAGAGAGGGAGAGGCCAGUGAGAGGGAGAGGACAGUGAGAGAGAGGGAGAGGACAGUGAGAGCGAGGCCUCAUCUUCUCUGUUUCCUCCUCAUAGUGAGGGGUUCAGGAACGUCCAUCACUGGAGCUCCUCACCAUCUGGUGGCCUGGUGACUCAUGGCUGUUAUCUAUGGACUCUGUUAUUCAACCAGCACAGUUCCCCUAGAGUUACUCAACAUUAACAUAGAUCAUUCCCCUAGAGUUACUCAACAUUAACAUAGAUCAUUCCCCUAGAGUUACUCAACAUUAACAUAGAUCAGUCCCCUAGAGUUACUCAACAUUAACAUAGAUCAGUCCCCUAGAGUUACUCAACAUUAACAUAGAUCAGUUCCCCUAGAGUUACUCAACAUUAACAUAGAUCAGUUCCCCUAGAGUUACUCAACAUUAACAUAGAUCAGUUCCCCUAGAGUUACUCAACAUUAACAUAGAUCAGUCCCCUACAGUUCCCCUAGAGUUACUCAACAUUAACAUAGAUCAGUCCCCUAGAGUUACUCAACAUUAACAUAGAUCAGUUCCCCUAGAGUUACUCAACAUUAACAUAGAUCAUUCCCCUAGAGUUACUCAACAUUAACAUAGAUCAGUCCCCUAGAGUUAUUCAACAUUAACAUAGAGCAGUUCCCCUAUAGUUACUCAACAUUAACAUAGAUCAGUCCCCAAGAGUUACUGAACAUUAACAUAGAUCAGUCCCCUACAGUACCCCUGUAGUUACUCAACAUUAACAUAGAUCAGUAUCCUAGAGUUACUCAACAUUAACAUAGAUCAG